rnacentral:rRNA from 1 species
CCGCUAUUGGAGUUCGAUUAAGCCAUGCGAGUCGCGAGAAAUUAGAUUCUCGGCGUACCGCUCAGUAACACGUGGGUAACCUGCCCUAUGCUGGAUAAUAACCUCGGGAAACUGAGUAUAAUGAUCCAUAGUUCACUACGCCUGGAACGGUGAGUGGAUGAAAGCUCCGGCGGCAUAGGAUGGGCCUGCGGCGUAUCAGGUAGUAGGGGGUGUAACGUACCCUCUAGCCCUCUACGCGUACGGGUGUUGGGAGACAUAGCCCGGAGAUGGAUUCUGAGACACGAAUCCAGACCCUACGGGGUGCAGCAGGCGCGAAAACUUGGCAAUGCGAGAAAUCGUGACCAGGGAACUCCAAGUGCAUCGGGUAAGACCGGUGCUUUUCUUGACUCUAAAUAGGUCUUGGAAUAAGGGGUGGGUAAGGACGGUGCCAGCCGCCGCGGUAAUACCGGCGCCUCAAGUGGUAGUCGCUUUUAUUGGGCCUAAAACGUCCGUAGCCGGUCUGAUACAUUCGUGGGUAAAUCAACCAGCUCAACUGGUUGAAUUCUGCGAGGACGGUCAGACUUGGGACCGGGAGAGGUGUGGGGUACGCUCAGGGUAGGGGUAAAAUCCUGUCAUCCUGAGCGGACCACCUGUUGCGAAGGCGCCACACUAGAACGGAUCCGACGGUCAGGGACGAAGCCUAGGGGCGCGAACCGGAUUAGAUACCCGGGUAGUCCUAGGUGUAAACGCUGUGGACUUGAUGUUGGGGGUGCUCCGAGCACUCUCAGUGUCGAAGCGAAGGUGAUAAGUCCACUGCCUGGGAAGUACGGUCGCAAGGCUGAAACUUAAAGGAAUUGGCGGGGGAGCACCGCAACCUGAGGAUUGUGCGG